CUUCUCUUUCUUCUCGUCUCUCUCUAAACACACAGUGCAACCGAUUUUCUUUCGGACGUUUUUCAACAACGCAGCAGCGCUGGCGGGCCCUGUUGAUCGGUACCGUUGCAUUGCAGAAAAAUGGUGAAUGGGUAAUGCAUAAUUUGUGAUUACAAAUUCCAUUUAAUUAGUAUUUGAGUGUUCCUCUUCUCUCUCUAAACACAUAGUGCAAUCGAUUUCUUUUCGGCGUUUUUCAACAACAUAGCGGCACUGGCCAGCCUUGAUAUGAGCGGUGCCGUUGCAUUGCAGAAAAACAGUGAAUGGGUAAUGCACAAUUUGUGAUUACAGAUUCCAUUUAAUUAGUAUUUGAGUGUUCCAUGCUACGCUCUGCUGUUUUCAGGUUAAUUUAAUUUAUGUUUGUUGAAUCUUGAGGUUUAGGGGUAAACAUUGUUGGCAUUAAUUUUUGAUUUUCAAUCAAAAUCAUGAUUUUCUAUCCAAUGGAAUAUAGAAAUAUCAAAAAAAGGACUAGAUUUUCUCCGAUUAGAUCUGGUGUCGGUAAAAAGGAUUCUCCGGUACACAUAUCAAUGAUGUAACGAUGACAGGGCUGGCCGUGAAUGGGUAAUGGUUGUGGUGGUGACGGAGAUGGUGAAGUGGAGACGACGUUGCAGUGAGGCUUUUUUGGGGUGUUGGUUUUGUAUCUGUUUUGUUGGUGAUGAGGUGGUGUUAGUUUUGGUGGCGAGAGUUUUGACGACGAUGCUGGUGGUGGUGGUGGUGAGUUUUGGUGGUAGUCACAAGUGUUUUGAUUGUUUAUGAUCAAGAAAUUGGCAUAUGUGACUAACCAUUUGGUUAUCUGUGACCAAAUGUUUGAGUGUGAUCUUAGAAUUUGACAAUCGGUGACCAAUUAAUUUGACAUCGAAAUAAUCUGUGGCCUGUA
rnacentral:lncRNA from 1 species